AUCUGGCAAAGGGGACAAGUCACUUGGGAGGAAUGUAGGAAUGUUGUAAGAGUAUGCAGGGAUGUGAUGAGGAAGGCUAAGGCCCAUUUGGAAUUAAAUCUGGCAAGGGAUGUCAAGACA